CGCAAGGCGUGACCACGUUGCUAAAAUUGCACUAGUUAAUUCUGGCAAAAUCUCACUGCUUUUUUAGGUGAUAACUACGAUUCUCGACUGAAAUGAUGACGGCAACAAAUAAUGAUGGUGGUGUAGUUGAAUUUUGGUGACAGCAGCACGCGCACAGAACCAGAACAGAGCAGCAAAUGCUUGCUGUGAGUUCGAUUUGUUGGUCGGACUACAGCGAAGUAAUAUCGAAUUCGCUCUCUGCUCUGUUUCUGCAGCUUUGAAACGAAAAAAAAAACAACAAUAUAUCGGCGAACAGCGCGCGAAAAGGUUUGACAGCUGUCAGGUGUAUCAGCUGACGGGAGAUUUCUUAUUAUGCCCAUUCGAUUGUGGUGAAAAUGCCAUUCCAUUAAAACAAACUCGUCAUAUGUGACCAAUGCUGUGGGAAAAACUAGUAAUUGUAUUUGUAGUUGUGAGGUGAAAUUCGUUCAUGAAAUGCAAGUUAAAAUACACGCAGAAUAAACGAAGGAAAUCAGCACUGAAAAAAAA
rnacentral:sRNA from 1 species